rnacentral:rRNA from 1 species
CGAUUUCGGGGAGGAUAGACUGCUAGUCGAGCGCCUCCCAGCCACGACGGAGGCGCGGCGUACAGCUCAGUAACACGUGGCUAACCUGCCCUCGGGACGGGAAUACCCCCGGGAAACUGGGGCUAAUCCCCGAUAGGUGAAGAACUCUGGAAUGAGUCUCCGCCCAAAAGACGCUUAAAUCAUGCUUUUAGGCGCCGCCCAAGGAUGGGGCCGCGACCGAUCAGGUAGUUGGUGAGGCAACGGCUCACCAAGCCUUUAACCGGUGCGGGCCGUGGGAGCGGGAGCCCGGAGAUGGGCACUGAGACAAGGGCCCAGGCCCUACGGGGCGCAGCAGUCGCGAAAACUUUGCAAUACACGAAAGUGUGACAGGGCUAUCCCGAGUGCCAUCCGCUGAGGAAGGCUUUUACCCAGUCUAGAAAGCUGGGAGAAUAAGGAGAGGGCAAGUCUGGUGUCAGCCGCCGCGGUAAUACCAGCUCUCCGAGUGGUGUGGAUGUUUAUUGGGCCUAAAGCAUCCGUAGCUGGCCAAGUUAGUCCCCUGUUAAAUCCACCGAAUUAAUCGUUGGAGUGCGGGGGAUACUGCUCGGCUAGGGGACGAGAGAGGCCGACGGUAUUUUCGGGGUAGGGGUGAAAUCCUAUAAUCCCGGGAAGACCACCAGUGGCGAAGGCUGUCGGCUAGAACGCGCCCGACGGUGAGGGAUGAAAGCUGGGGGAGCGAACCGGAUUAGAUACCCGGGUAGUCCCAGCUGUAAACGAUGCACGCUAGGUGUUUUGGGCGGCCACGGGCCGCUCUAGUGCCGCAGGGAAGCUGUUAAGCCUGCCGCCUGGGGAGUACGGCCGCAAGGCUGAACUUAAAGGAAUUGGCGGGGGAGCACCACAAGGGGUGAAGCUUGCGGUUUAAUUGGAGUCAACGCCGGG